rnacentral:rRNA from 1 species
UACGAAGGGUGCGAGCGUUGUUCGGAAUUAUUGGGCGUAAAGCGCACGUAGGCGGCCUUGUAAGUCUCACUGUGAAAGUCCGGGGCUCAACCCCGGGAUGCCAGGGGAUACUGCGAGGCUUGAGACAAGUAGAGGUUGGUAGAAUUCCGGGUGUAGCGGUGGAAUGCGUAGAGAUCCGGAGGAAUACCAGAGGCGAAGGCGGCCAACUGGGCUUGUUCUGACGCUGAGGUGCGAAAGCGUGGGGAGCGAACAGGAUUAGAUACCCUGGUAGUCCACGCCGUAAACGAUGGACACUAGAUGCCGGUGGGAACGACCCCAUCGGUGUCGAAGCUAACGCAUUAAGUGUCCCGCCUGGGGAGUACGGCCGCAAGGCUGAA